AAGGUCUUCUGCAACUGGCGCUGAGGUGGGUAACCACCGGGGAGCAGAACUACAGACCACGACAGCCGUACGCCUGGGCACCCUUU
rnacentral:ncRNA from 2 species